CGUCCGGUGCCCCCCCCCCCGGGGCCGGAUCCUGCCAUCUGGCCCCCGCCUCCGCCGGCCGCUUAAACCGAGGCCGCCCGGGGGCUGAUCCAAUUUGUGGGGUGGAUAUUUUGGGAACAAGCGGCCCUGUGUUGCGCGGCCCCGCUGACCCCGCUCCGUGCCCUCGUCACCUAGGGGGGGGGCCCUGACCUCUGUGCCCCCCCCCCUCCAUUAGAUGCCUCGGGGGCCGGGGCCUUGUCUGGGCCACCUCCGAUCCUUUUUGUCUGGGCCCUCUGUGUAUAAGGUGCCCCAAAUCCUGCCCGGGAUCCCCCAAAAUGAGCCAGGAUACCCCAAAAUGCCCCAGGAUACCCCAAAAUGUCUCAGGAUACCCCAAAAUAUCCCAGGAUACCCCAAAAUGUCCCAGGACCCCCAAAAAUGUCCCAGGAUCCCCAAAAAUAUCCCAGGACCCCCCAAAAAGGCCCAGGAUACCCCAAAAUGCCCCAGGACCCCUCAAAAUGUCCCAGGACCCCUCAAAAUGCCCCAGGAUCCCCCAAAAAUGUCCCAGGAUACCUCAAAAUGUCCCAGGAUACCCCAAAAUGUUCCAGGAUCCCUCAAAAUGCCCCAGGACCCCUCAAAAUGUCCCAGGACCCCCAAAAAUGUCCCAGGAUCCCCCAAAAUGUCCCAGGACCCCCAAAAAUGUCCCAGGAUACCUCAAAAUGUCCCAGGACCCCCAAAAUGUCCCAGGACCCCCCAAAAUGCCCCAGGAUCCCCCAAAAUGUUCCAGGAUCCCUCAAAAUGUCCCAGGAUACCCCAAAAUGUCCCUAGAUCCCUCAAAAUGUCCCAGGACCCCCCAAAAUGUCUGAGGACACCCCAAAGCAUCCCAGGAUCCCCCAAAAUGUCCCAGGCCCCUCCCAACCCCAUCCCGCUCUGCCCCCCCCCCCCCUUGCUCCCAGGCCCCCCCCCCCCNNNNNNNNNNNNNNNNNNNNNNNNNNNNNNNNNNNNNNNNNNNNNNNNNNNNNNNNNNNNNNNNNNNNNNNNNNNNNNNNNNNNNNNNNNNNNNNNNNNNGGGAGAGAACCCCAGUUUGGGGUCCCGGUUUGGGGUCCCAGUUUGGGAUUCCAGUUUGGGAUCCCAGUUUGGAGUUUCAGGAUAAAAUCCCAGUUUGGAAUCCCAGUUUGGGAUCCCGGUUUGGGAUCCUGGCUUGGGGUUUCAGGAGAGAACCCCAGUUUAGGAUUCCGUUUUGGGGUUCUAGGAGAGAAUCCCAGUUUGGGAUCCUGGUUAGGGGUCCUGGUUCAGGGUUCUGGAAGAGAAUCCCAGUUCGGGAUCCCCGUUUGGGAUCCCAGUUUGGGGUUUCAGGAGAGAAUCCCAGUUAGGGGAUUCCGCUUUGGGGUCCCAGUUUGGAGUUCUGGCAGAGAAUCCCAGUCUGGGAUCCCAGGAGGGACUCCCAGUUUGGGGUCCUGGUUUGGGGCGCUGGUGCAGGAUCCUGUUGUGGGGUCCUGGUGUUGGUCCCAGGAGCAGAUCCCAGUGGGGCUCCCAGUUUGGGGUGCUGGUGCAGGGUCCCAGUGCAGCAUCCCGGUCCUCCCGGGAUUUUGGGUCCCGGGGGGAGGAUCCCAGUGGGGAUCCCAGUUUGGGAUCCUGUUGGGGGUCCUGGAUUUGGGUCCCGGUGCCGGAUCCCAGUACUGGGACCCGGAAUUUGGUCCCGGGGGAGAAUCCCGGUGGGGAUCCCAGUUUGGGGUCGCGCUUUGGGAUCCCGGGGGAGGAUCCCGGUGGGGAUCCCGGUUUGGGGUCGCGCUUUGGGAUCCCGGGGGAGGAUCCCAGUGGGGAUCCCAGUUUGGGACCCUGCUGGGGGUCCUGGAUUUGGGUCCCGGUGCCGGAUCCCAGGGGAGGAUCCCGGUGGGGAUCCCGGUUUGGGGUCACACUUUGGGAUCCCGGUGGGGAUCCCAGUUUGGGAUCCUGCUGGGGGUCCUGGAUUUGGGUCCCGGUGCCGGAUCCCGGGGGGGAGAAUCCCGGUGGGGAUCCCACUUUGGGAUCGCGCUUUGGGAUCCCGGGAGCGAAUCCCGGCGUGAGGACCCUUUUUGGGAUCCCGGUCGAAAAUCCCCCCUUUGGGGUCCCUUUUUGGGGUCCCGUUUUUGGGGUCCCGCUGCGCUCUCCGGAGCCGCCCGUUCCCCUCGCUCCGCCCGGCGCCGCGUUCGCAGCCGGGAACGGGGCCGGGGAGCUACCGGGGAACGGGGACGAGGGGAAGGGGAAGGGGAAGCGGGGGUCGCACGGCUCCGUUUCACCGACCCCAAUACCGGGGGGGGGGUCCCCGGGGGUCCCCGGGGGUCCCGACGCCCGAGGGGCGGUGCCCGCGCACCGGGCGCGGCUGCGCAAAGCCCGGGCGGCGGCGGGAGGCAGCGCUCGGCGGGGCCGGCACCGGCACCGGGACCGGAGGU
rnacentral:lncRNA from 1 species